UACGGAAGGCAGCAGUGGGGAAUAUUGCACAAUGGGCGCAAGCCUGGUGCAGCCAUGCCGCGUGUAUGAAGAAGGCCUUCGGGUUGUAAAGUACUUUCAGUCGUGAGGAAAGUGUUAAGGUUAAUAACCUUAGCAAUUGACGUUAGCGACAGAAGAAGCACCGGCUAACUCCGUGCCAGCAGCCGCGGUAAUACGGAGGGUGCGAGCGUUAAUCGGAAUUACUGGGCGUAAAGGGCACGCAGGCGGUUAAUUAAGUUGGAUGUGAAAUCCCCGGGCUUAACCUGGGAAUGGCAUUCAAGACUGGUUAGCUAGAGUCUUGUAGAGGGGGGUAGAAUUCCAUGUGUAGCGGUGAAAUGCGUAGAGAUGUGGAGGAAUACCGGUGGCGAAGGCGGCCCCUGGACAAAGACUGACGCUCAUGUGCGAAAGCGUGGGGAGCAAACAGGGAUUAGAUACC
rnacentral:rRNA from 1 species